rnacentral:tRNA from 1 species
CUCUCAGAAGCUUUUAUUAGCGGUAGCCUUUUAAGCUAAAGAAGGAGCGAUCUCCCUUAGAGC